AUUGAACGCUGGCGGCAGGCCUAACACAUGCAAGUCGAGCGGUAGCACAGGGAGCUUGCUCCUGGGUGACGAGCGGCGGACGGGUGAGUAAUGUCUGGGAAACUGCCUGAUGGAGGGGGAUAACUACUGGAAACGGUAGCUAAUACCGCAUAACGUCGCAAGACCAAAGAGGGGGACCUUCGGGCCUCUUGCCAUCAGAUGUGCCCAGAUGGGAUUAGCUAGUAGGUGGGGUAACGGCUCACCUAGGCGACGAUCCCUAGCUGGUCUGAGAGGAUGACCAGCCACACUGGAACUGAGACACGGUCCAGACUCCUACGGGAGGCAGCAGUGGGGAAUAUUGCACAAUGGGCGCAAGCCUGAUGCAGCCAUGCCGCGUGUAUGAAGAAGGCCUUCGGGUUGUAAAGUACUUUCAGCGGGGAGGAAGGCGAUAAGGUUAAUAACCUUGUCGAUUGACGUUACCCGCAGAAGAAGCACCGGCUAACUCCGUGCCAGCCGCCGCGGUAA
rnacentral:rRNA from 1 species